AUAUCUCAAAUAUUACCGAAACAGUCUUACUGGAUUGGAUUAUCAUAUGGAGUUGAUGGCUGGUCUUGGGUGGAUGGAUCAAAACUUUCUACAAAGAGAAUGGACUGGAUUGAUUUGUCCUUUAAGCAAAACUGUGCAUGCCUAUUUUAUCAUAGGUCAACAGUUUACAGUGAGAAUUGUUAUGAGAAACAUCCCUGGAUUUGUGAGAAGGCAGCAGUCCAUCUGAUCUAAAAAGAUUAUCAACAGAAAAAGAACUGGAAGAGGAUGAAGACUUUGAUGUUCAGAUUUUCAAAGAAG